rnacentral:rRNA from 1 species
GUGAUUUUAACGGCCGCAGUACCUUGACUGUGCUAAGGUAGCAUAAUAAUUUGGCUUUUAAUUGAAGUCGGGAAUGAAAGGAAAACAGGAUUAUUGUCUCUUUUAGUUUUUUUAAAUUUUCUUAAUAAGUGAAAAUUCUUAUUUUAAUUAUUAGACGAGAAGACCCUUAGAAUUUUCACUAUUUUUGUUGGGGCGACAACAUUACAGUAAACUUUUGUUUAAAAAAAACACGACUAGUAAGAAAAAAUUACCUAAGGGAUAACAGCAUAAUUUUGAGAUUAUGACCUCGAUGUUGGAUUAGGGUUUAAAGGUUAAUAACUUUUAAAGUUCUGUUC